rnacentral:rRNA from 1 species
UACAGAGGUCUCAAGCGUUGUUCGGAUUCAUUGGGCGUACAGGGUGCGUAGGCGGCGCGGUAAGUCGGGUGUGAAAUCUCGGAGCUUAACUCCGAAACUGCAUUCGAUACUGCCGUGCUUGAGGACUGGAGAGGAGACUGGAAUUUACGGUGUAGCGGUGAAAUGCGUAGAUAUCGUAAGGAAGACCAGUGGCGAAGGCGGGUCUCUGGACAGUUACUGACGCUGAGGCACGAAGGUCAGGGGAGCAAACGGG